rnacentral:lncRNA from 1 species
UAGGACAUUCAAGUGAGAAAAAUACAACACCUUAUUAUAAGAUUCUCAAAAUUCCCUCGAAGUACAGUUUGACAUAAGAUCCUUAAAAUUUAUAUCCAACGAAAUCUAGGUGAUUGAAAAGCAGAAAAGUCAAAUUCACACAAACAACCGUAGCAUUUCCAAGUCGUCCAAGUUCUUUAUCUCUUUUCCACCUCCAUCUAAAGAUAGGCACCAUAGCUUUCCCCUCGGUACUAAUUUUAAUCAAUCAACAAUCCAAACAGUUCAUUUAGAGAAGGUACAAAUAGAGCCAAGCCCAUACAAAGAGGGAAGAGAAAAAGAACAAGAAAGAUGGAAGAACUUGCAGCAAAGAUCUGGCAUUCAAGUUUCAUUUGAGUACAAUCAUCACCAUUGCUCCCUGAGAAUUAGCAGACUGAUCUCUCAGGCCACCAUAGCAGGAACAGGGAGACAGCUUAUUAAGGGAUCAAAGGAAACCAAGCAAGGAUCCAUUGAGCUGAUGACAGACGGCUGGAUUCGCAUCAAUCCCUGGCCCUUGAUGGGCCUCAGUAUCCACAGUAGUCUGCCUCAUCUAUCCGGCCCAAUUGCCCGGCCUCGAGGCAGCUCUUAUUGCAGGUGUCCUGACACUUCUCACGUGAGGCAUUUGCGGCCUGCAUGCACCGCUCGAUCAUGCACGUGCAGAAGCACUCGUUGCUCGGGCGCUCGGCGCCGUCGGCUUGCAGGGAGGAGGAUAGCACCGCCAUGAAGACGAGAGCAAGGGUCAGGGCCUUGGCGCACGCCAUGUCUUCUACUGGUGUUGUUCUCUUCUUAGCGCUUUUGGGAUGCCGGGGAUGUGGCCUUCUGAAGAGUUGGAUU